rnacentral:rRNA from 1 species
CCUACGGGCGGCAGCAGUGGGGAAUAUUGGACAAUGGGGGCAACCCUGAUCCAGCCAUGCCGCGUGUGUGAAGAAGGCCCUCGGGUUGUAAAGCACUUACAGUGAGGAAGAACGCCUGGUGGUUAAUACCCAUCAGGAAAGACAUCACUCACAGAAGAAGCACCGGCUAACUCCGUGCCAGCAGCCGCGGUAAUACGGAGGGUGCGAGCGUUAAUCGGAAUUACUGGGCGUAAAGCGCGCGUAGGUGGCUUGAUAAGCCGGUUGUGAAAGCCCCGGGCUCAACCUGGGAACGGCAUCCGGAACUGUCAAGCUAGAGUGCAGGAGAGGAAGGUAGAAUUCCCGGUGUAGCGGUGAAAUGCGUAGAGAUCGGGAGGAAUACCAGUGGCGAAGGCGGCCUUCUGGACUGACACUGACACUGAGGUGCGAAAGCGUGGGUAGCAAACAGGAUUAGAUACCCUAGUAGUC